CUUUGACCAUCUCCAUCAAGCACUCAAAUUCAAAUCCCAUACAAUUCCACGCCGCCGUUUUGGCGUCCUUUUAAUCGCGCGUGUUCAGAUUUCAGGCGCUUGUUCAUUCAGAAGAAACAGAAACGCAUACCGUUCCACGGCGAGAUUUGCCCGCGGUAGGUACAGUACAGGGAAGAAGAAGAAAUCCGCCGCAGAAUCGCGACGAUUUAAGGCGCCGCAACGAGCUCUCAUUCAUAGUCAGCGACUCAGAAUCGUGGAACUACACCCGGCCAUGGACUCGCCAUCUCCUUGGAGAACACUACUGGCCUCUCUCAUCAUACUCAUGGCGCUCGUCUCGCCCACCGCAGCCCCGCCGCCAACCCCCGGGGAGCAAGCAGGGGCGCUCCUGGCCUGGAGAGCCACCCUCGGCGGCCAAAGCCAGCGCGCCCUGCGAUCCUGGGGAAACACGUCGACGCUCUGCAGCUGGCGCGGCGUCAGGUGCGGCGCGCGGCGCCGGCCGGUGAUCACCGGCGUCCACCUGCGCGGGGUGCGGCUCGCAGGGACGCUUGGGUCCCUCGACUUCGCGGCCCUGAGGGCCCUGACGAGUCUCGACCUCUGGCGCAACAGGCUGGCCGGGAGCAUUCCUCCGAGCAUCGCGGCCCUCGGCGAGCUCCAUGCCCUGCUCCUGCAAGGCAACCAGAUAAGCGGCUCCAUCCCACCUUCUCUAGCAAACCUCACGAGGCUGCAUCUCCUGAUGCUCCAUGACAACCAAAUCUCCGGCGAAAUAGCAGGACAGAUAGGAGAGCUGGGUAACCUUGUGAGCCUAGACUUGUCAGGCAAUCAGCUGGUUGGUAGUAUCCCCUGUGAAAUAGGCCACCUAAAUCACCUGGUCAGGUUGGAUUUGUCUGACAACAAGCUUUCAGGUCCGGUUUCCUUCUGUCCAGCCAAUAACUCCACAGUAAAUUUAGAAAAUCUGAAUAGGCUGUCAUUAUCCAGGAAUAACCUAGCAGGUCCCAUUUCCAAAGAUAUUGUGAAUUUAUCCAGCCUCCAACACCUCGACAUAAGCCAAAACAAUUUUUCCGGCUUGAUCCCGGGCGGUGUAGGUGGCCUGAACAAACUCACAUUCCUGCAUCUUUCAGAUAAUCAGCUUUCGGGACCGAUUCCUCCGGAAAUCGGAAACUUACAGAGGCUUAAGCAGCUUAACCUUAGUGCAAACCAUCUUGAAGGCUAUAUUCCAACUAGUUUAGGAAACUUAACACAGUUAACAGCUCUAAAUCUUUCGACUAACGAGCUCAUCGGGCCCAUCCCUAAAGAAAUAAGGAAUUUAGUGAACUUAGAAAGUUUGGGACUAGGACAGAACAAACUUACGGCGUCCAUUCCAAACAGUCUGGGGAAUCUGACAAAACUCACCACCUUGGACCUUCAUGAUAACCAACUUUCUGGAAACAUCCCUCGAGAGCUAGGUUAUUUAGUGAACUUGGAGGAAUUGAACAUUUACAACAACACACUAAGUGGUUCCAUCCCAAGUAGCUUAGGGAACUUGACAAAGCUCACAACUCUAUACCUUUGCUAUAACCAAUUGUCUGGAUCCAUUCCACAAGAAAUUGGAAACUUGAGAAAUCUCGUUUGGUUGACUCUAAGUUCUAACAAACUCUCCGGUCCCCUGCCAUCCGGUCUUUGUUCCGGAGGCCGGCUACAAAAUUUCACUGCUUAUAACAACAUGUUGGUUGGACCCUUGCCAACAAGCUUGCUAAGAUGCACAAGCCUGGUACGAUUUCGUCUUGAACGAAAUCAGCUCCAAGGAGAUAUCUCUGAGAUGGGGACCCAAAUCUUGUCUACAUAGAUAUCAGCUUAAACAAACUAUUUGGUCAAUUAUCUCAUCACUGGGGUGAGUGCCACAGACUUUCCAUGUUGCGUGCCUCAGAAAAUAGUGUCACUGGAGUCAUACCACCAAGCAUAGGGAAACUGUCUCAGUUGAGGAUACUUGAUGUUUCAUCAAAUAAACUCGAAGGACAUAUUCCUCCAGAAAUUGGCAAUAUAAUGACAUUGUUCAAUUUGAGCCUUGCCAACAACUUGCUCAGGGGAAGUAUACCGCAGGAAAUUGCGUCUCUAAAAAAUCUGGAGUACUGGAUUUAUCUUCGAACAACCUAAGCGGGCAGUUAGGGGGAUCAGUUGGGCAGUGCUUAAAGCUUCGCUUCUGAAUUUGAGCCAUAAUCAACUCAAUGGUAGCAUUCCUAUGGAACUAGGGAUGUUGGUAAACCUACAAGGAUUGUUAGAUCUAAGUGACAAUUCAUUUAGUAGCAUGAUACCAACUCAGUUGGGUGAUCUUACCAUGCUUGAAGCCUUGAAUCUUGCACAUAAUGCAUUAAGCGGCAGAAUUCCGCCAUCAUUUCAACGCAUGAACAGCCUCUUAUACAUGGAUGUGUCUUAUAACAAACUAGAAGGGCCCGUGCCACAAAGCAGGCUCUUCAAAGAAGCUCCAACCGAAUGGUUCGUGCAUAAUACACAUUUAUGCGGUGAUGGUGUGAAAAGUCUGUCCCCUUGUGACCACACGUCAAGUUAUCAAAAAGGAAGGAAGUCUAGAGCUAUUUUACUAGCUACAAUACCUGCCACUGUGACUUUUUUGCUCAUUACUGCACUAGCAACAUGGCAAUGUAAAAGGAAGAAAUCCAAGGCUGAAAGUGCAAAGGGACUGGAACAGGUCAAGAUGUUCGCCAUCUGGAACUUUGACGGGGAAGAUGUGUACAAGCAAAUUAUUGACGCCACAAAAGGAUUCAGCGAUGCUCACUGCAUUGGAACUGGAGGGAGUGGAUCUAUCUAUAGAGCCCAGUUACCAACAGGUGAAAUAUUUGCAGUGAAGAAGAUUCACACGAUGGAAGAUGACAAGCUAUUCCAUCGUGAAAUAGAUGCUUUGAUUCAUAUUCGGCAUCGCAACAUUGUGAAGUUAUUUGGCUACUGCUCUGCUGCUCAUCAGAGAUUUCUUGUGUAUGAAUAUAUGGAUAGGGGAAGCUUAGCAAAAUCUUUGCAGAGCAAGGAAACUGCAAUUGAGUUGGAUUGGGCAAGAAGAUUAAAUAUCACUAAGGAUGUUGCAAAUGCUCUGUCCUACAUGCAUCAUGAUUGCUUUGCACCGAUAGUCCAUAGAGAUGUAACUAGCAGCAACAUUUUGCUUGAUAUGGAUUUCAGUGCCUGUAUAUCAGAUUUUGAUCUAGCAAAAGUACUAGAUGGAGAUGCACCAAACUGUACAAGGCUUGCUGGGACGAACGGAUAUCUUGCCCCAGGUAAAAUUAUGAGUAUCUAUCGGUUAAAUCUUUGUGUUGUCAUGUUUUCUCUAUCUCGUAAACGUUUCGAAGAGGUCAUUAUUUGGCGAAUUUGUAAUAAAACGUUGUAACAGGUUAGGUUUUAUGCAUCUAUAAUGACGAGGCCCAGGGGAAUAAAAUAUUUCAUCAUCUAAAACCCUAAACACCUAUUAGUACUGACUUUGCUUAUGGUCACUAGAAGUAAUGUAGAACAGUUUACCAUGCAUUUGCCUACAGUACACAUUUUGUCUCUAAUCUCUGCAGUACACAUUAGCCACGUCAAUCAUCGAGCCCAUUUGUUUCACUAACUAUUUGCUGUUAGCAAUUUGUAAUAAUGGACAUUGGCUGUGUACGCCUCUAGGUAAGAUUCCAAGUGAUUUCCAUUUGUCUAAAAACAGUAGCUACAUCGAUACAUAUAUAGUACUUUUUGCAUCUUUACAUACACAUUCACAAAAAGUUAACUCGUCAAUAUUGGCAUAGCAGAGCUUGCGUACUCAACAAGGGUGACAGAGAAGUGUGAUGUCUAUAGCUUUGGAGUACUCGUGCUCGAGUUGUUCAUGGGACAUCAUCCAGAACCAAAUCCAUCAUACCGUCCAACGAUGCAACAAGCAAUCAAGGCGUUCUCUACAACUGAAAGACCUGAUGAUCAGCUUGAUUAUCAGCAAACUGACAUUGUCAUCCCUUCCACCUAGUCGUGAAUGUGCUCAAGACAUUUUUUCUUCAUUUUAAUUAGAGAACGUUUGCAAUACAUCAUUUGUAUGGUGUUUCAUUUUUGCAUGACUACAUGCCAUGUACAAUUUAUGUUGGUUGUAAGAAAUUGAGAAGAAAAAAUUGUUACUCCCUCCGUUCACAAAUAUAAGAUGUUUUGGAUAUUUCAAUAUGGACUAGAUACAGACUCAAAUGAGUGAACAAACACAGUUAAAUGUGUCUAUAUAUGUCCAAUUCAUAAAAAACUUAGAACACCUUAUAUUUGUGAACGGAGGGAAUACUAGUUUGGUUCUUGUAAAUAUUUCUAUAGCAGGGCUCUUGCUGUCUAUCCUAUGUGUGAUUCUUGAAGGAUUAUAAUUUAUAAUUCUUACGA